UUCAGGCUCACAUUCUCAGCUUCCUGCUGCUCAGUAUCACAGUGGUAUCCAGGGCAGAAAUUGUGCUGACCCCGUCUCCGGCCUCCAAGGCUGUUUCCCAAGGGGAGAGAGUCACCAUCACCUGCAGUGCCAGCUCAAGUCCAAGAUUCAGAGGUCUUAUAUGCCAUGAGAAGAGGAAAUAUUUCUCUUACCAGAAAUGCAGAGGAGCAGAAGGCUGAGGAGGUGAGCCUGGGAGCCCAUAGUCUUGGCCCGAGCUUCACGUG